GUAACGGCGAGUGAAGCGGCAACAGCUCAAAUUUGAAAUCUGGCCUCCUCGGGGUCCGAGUUGUAAUUUGUAGAGGGUGUUUCGGGCGCGAUGCCGGUCUAAGUUCCUUGGAACAGGACGUCGUAGAGGGUGAGAAUCCCGUAUGCGACCGGCGAUCAAGCCUGUGUGAAGCCCCUUCGACGAGUCGAGUUGUUUGGGAAUGCAGCUCAAAAUGGGUGGUAAAUUUCAUCUAAAGCUAAAUACUGGCCAGAGACCGAUAGCGGACAAGUAGAGUGAUCGAAAGAUGAAAAGCACUUUGGAAAGAGAGUCAAACAGUACGUGAAAUUGUUGAAAGGGAAGCGCUUGCAAUCAGACCGGUCCGGAGGUGAUCAGCCGCUGCUCGUCAGCGGUGCACUCGCCUGCGAUCCGGCCAGCAUCGGUUCGGGCGGUGGGAUAAAAGUCCCGGGAAUGUAGCUUCCUUCGGGGAGUCUUAUAGCCCGGGUCGCAAUGCCGCCCGCCCGGACCGAGGACCGCGCUUCGGC
rnacentral:rRNA from 1 species